GCAGGAACUCACCGGAAGCACGGCCCCACGCCAGCUCCUGCUGCACAGUGCUACGGCCACAUUGGUGUUGGGACACAUAAAGGCAGCAGCAGCAUUACAUCAAUGCUGCUAGGUGCAGACAUGUACAGAUGUGUUCCGGCAUGCCGUGGCAUUCGCAUGAGUAUGCAUACACACGCUCCCGUAGCUAAAUGCACACAGUUGGUAAGUGGACCAUGAUGCGGGAAGAGGGUGCCCCAGCUGCCAGAGACUUGGAGGGGGACUCAGCAAGCUUGAAUCCACUGGUAUGAAGGGAUCUCUGCUUAAGAUCUUCUGCAAAAGCUUUCAGUCAGCUUUGUCUUGAGAAACAAGUUUAGUAACUUUAAUUUGGGGCUCCUUAAUAAUGGUUCACCAUAAUAUGAAGAAAAAAAAAAAAGAUUAUGAAUUUCAAGAGAUUGCAUUGUCAAGUGCAUUAUCUCAUCCAUUUGAAAGUUUAUUGACCCCCAAAAAGGUAAUUAGUUACAAGCAGAGAUACUGAAGAAAAACUUUCACAAAGAUCAUAUACAGAAGCCUCAGUAUUGACCCCUCCUCUGGAAUGUACCCAUUGAUAGACUAUUGGUGGUCUUUCCGAGUUGUUCGCUAGCUGUUUUCGUUCGCAGCGCAGCAAUUAGGCAAAAAAGCGGCACUUCUGCGCAUGCGUAUGCGGCGCAAUGCGCAUGCGCAACGUACUUUCACAACAGCCGAUGUUUUUUUACACAAGGUCUAGCAAAGCUUUUCAGUCGCACUGCUGGCCGCAGAGUGAUUGUCAGGAUGGGGGCGUUUCUGGGUGUCAACUGACCAUUUUCAGGGAGUGUUUGAAAAAAUGCAGGCGUGCCUGGAAAAACGCAGGCGUGGCUGGCCGAAUGCAAGGCGUGUUUGUGACGUCAAACCAGGAACUGAAUGGUCUGAAGUGAUCGCAAGCACUGAGUAGGUCUGAAGCUACUCUGAAACUGCUCAAAAAUAUUUUGCAGCUUAUCUGCGAUCCUUUCGUUCGCACUUCAGCUAAGCUAAGAUACACUCCCAGAGGGCGGCAGCUUAGCGUUUGCACGGCUGCUAAAAACAGCUAGCGAGCGAACAACUCGGAAUGAGGGCCAUUAUGUCAAAGUUGCUGCUGGGUUCCUUUCCACUAUUAAUGGUAAUUCCAGAAAGCUUAUAAGAGAUCCAAGCUGUUAUUUCCCCCAGCAUCUGCAUCUGUUAAUCAGAGUAUUAUUAUUAUUAUUAUUAUUAACAACAUUUAAUUAUAUGGCACCAGGGAAAGGCACUUUAAUUGUAAAGCUGUAUGUUAGGACUGAAAGGGGUUACUUCUCCCACUGUACUGGUGGAAGAAUCAAAGACUACAGCAAUUCUGUUCUCCUGACCAGGGCCGGCCCAAGCUAAAUUUUUUCGGUAAGCGAAUUUAGAAUUUAGCGCCCCUUGAUGGGAUAAUAAUAAUAAUAAUAAUAAUUUUAUUUAUAUAGCGCUCUUUCUCCAACAGGACUCAAGGCGCUAAUAUUAAAAUAUUAAAAGAGGUGUGGUCUCACAAGGAAGGGGCGUGGCCACACAAUAGAACCUGCAUGACUGGGUGGCAGAGGUGAUGGAGGUAGUGGGUGACUGAGGAGGCUGGGGUGACAGGGAGAUAGUGGGUCACAGGGAAGGCUGGGGUGACAGGGAGCAGUGAUCACGCUGAGCCCAAAAAAAAGUGGGUCCCAGGGAACCCUCACUUUUUAAAAUUGGGGUCCUACCUGUCCUUUUCUGGGUCCCAUCGGAAUGAAGAUUCUUAUUAAUCUUAUUAAUUAUUAAAAUAUAAAAAUAGAAACUUGAUUUGGACACUACAAAAGUGUUGCAAGGGGAGGAGGGUUGUGACAAUGCUGCCGGGCUGUGUAGCAUGCAGGACACCCUGCACCAGAGCUGUAACUAGACAUUUUAGUGCCCUUUAUCAGAAAGUGAAUUGGUGCUCCACCUCCCAGACAGCAAAGAAUAGACAGUGCGCGCCGAAGGCGUGCUUCAAAAAUCAGGGGUGUGGCUUCAUGGGAAAGGGGCGUGGCCACAUAAUACUGCCAAUUCACAUUACACCACACAGUAGUGCCGCUUAAACACAUUGCACCAAAUAGAACCUCCUAUACACACUGCGCCAGGUAGAACCUCCUAUACACACUGCGCCAGAUAGAGCACGUUAUACGUAUUGCGCCAGAUAUGGCACGUUAUACACAUUGCGCCAGGUAGAGCACGUUAUACACAAUGCACCAGGUAGAGCACAUUAUACACACUGCACCAGGUAGAGCACGUUAUACACAAUGCGCCAGGUAGAGCACGUUAUACACAAUGCGCCAGGUAGAGCACGUUAUACACAAUGCACCAGGUAGAGCACGUUAUACACAUUGCGCCAGGUAGAGCACAUUAUACACAAUGCGCCAGGUGCAGCACGUUAUACACAAUGCGCCAGGUAGAGCACGUUAUACACAAUGCGCCAGGUAGAGCACGUUAUACACAAUGCACCAGGUAGAGCACGUUAUACACAGUGUAGCCUCAGCCCCUCAGUCGUCCACCGCAAACAGCAAUGCUGGAACCCCCUACAGCACGCCCAUCCACCACCCCACACAGCCUGCUGCAGUGCGGGUACACAUGCUGCUGGGGUCACAGGGCAGAUGCACUCACCGUUGCGCAGGUCAGUCUCUUGGUGUUUGCGGCGGCGCCCAGAGUCAGCAUGCAGGCAGGCUUUUCCUCUGGCUCUGGCUCAAGCCACAGGCAGCGCACCCCACGCCCCAUAGGAAGACAGCUCAGGAGGGAGGGGGCACAGCACAGGUGCAGCACGUUAUACACAAUGCGCCAGGUGCAUCACGUUAUACACAAUGCGCCAGGUAGAGCACGUUAUACACAAUGCGCCAGGUAUUUAUUGAGACACAAGAGGGGGAGUUUAAAGCUUGCUCUCUUGCUUUCUCUCUCUCUCUUUCUAACAAUUAUCUAUGUAUUUGAAGUCUGUAGAAAAGACUGGUCAGGUACUGUAUGGUAGGAAAUUUCAUAAGUUGGUAGAGGGCACAAGAGAAUUCUCUAGGUGAGAGUAAGAGGGGGAUACCAUAGGUGAAAUAAGGUGCAGCAGGUUAGAGGUAGAACUAAGAAAGUGAAAGUGGAAAUAUCGUGAGAUGAGAUGUGUGUAGUAGCAGCUCAGGAACAUGCAGCCUCAGACAGACAGAGCCGCGUGUUUGGGCGGCCACCUUAGUAUGGCCGCAGUUACGGCCCGCAAGAGGAGAGAGACACUGACAGCACGGGCGGGAGCGCGGGCGGACGGGAGCGCGGGCGGGCGGACUGGGCAGGAGUCAGACAGCAGCCUAGAAGUGCGGCUUGACGGAGCGGCUGUGGUGCAGGCUGCCGGCGCCUUCCUCACUGUGGCGCCUUACUCGUACGCGUACCCCGCGUAACGGGCGGGCCGGUCCUGCUCCUGACUAUUUACUUUUGUUGUCAAAGAAAUAAAACUAUUUGCAAUUUUGGUUAUUAUUUUUCUGCUUAAUGUUUUGGAAUCAGCUAAUGUCUGCAUUUUCUUCAUAAUAAGGUGAUGCUGGGUGGAGUUUUUCGUCAGUUUUUAUAUAAAAAGAAUUGUUAGAGUAAAGACAAAUGAUGCAAGUAAGCAGCAGGUUGAAUUAAAGUGUGAAAUACAGUAUGUUUUUUUUUUUAAAUCAAUCUCUGACAUGCAUGUGGUACAGUAUGCCCCAGGGUGGACACCUGGAAACAUUUUGUUAUAUCUGGCUGGUAAUGCAAAAGAGUGAUAAUAAACAUACUAUA